ensembl:lncRNA
AUCCUGCUGGAGAUCCCAGUCUACCUGAGGCCUUCCGAUAUUAAAAAGAAAGGAAGGAAGGAAGGAAGGAAGGAAGGAAAGGAAGAAAGAAAGGAUGCUGAUAAAACAGAAAACAUCUGAACAGCUCUAUGUUAUGGAGAACAAUUCAAACCCACUUGUUCAAGUAUACCUUUCCAAUGAGCAUGCCAUACUGUGUGUUGUGUAUAAGAAGGCACAGCAGGCAGUGAAGUGCUUAAGCCCUCCCCUCCUCACUUUCUGAUUCGGAAGACAUAUUUACAAAUCACAUUGUACAGGAGGCUUCCAGACUUUGAAUACCCGUAAGCAAGGUAAUGUAUCACAAGCACAGAGAAUGAUGUGUACACAGGAAAACACUGAAAUCAGAGACCCCAAAGAACAUAAGCAAAAAAAAAAAAAAAACUUUUCUGUGGUGGGAUGGGAAGUGAUGAAGGGUCAGAAAACUCGUUUCUGAAAUUGUUUCAAGCUCAUGCUGAGUUAUAACAGGUGUUGGGAGGAAAACAGCCAAUAAUACUAACUUCACAUGUGAUAUCUUUCAUCAAAUAAAGGAUGCUAGUCAGAG